AGUGAACGCUGGCGGUAGGCCUAACACAUGCAAGUCGAACGGCAGCACAGUAAGAGCUUGCUCUUACGGGUGGCGAGUGGCGGACGGGUGAGGAAUACAUCGGAAUCUACUUUUUCGUGGGGGAUAACGUAGGGAAACUUACGCUAAUACCGCAUACGACCUACGGGUGAAAGCAGGGGAUCUUCGGACCUUGCGCGAUUGAAUGAGCCGAUGUCGGAUUAGCUAGUUGGCGGGGUAAAGGCCCACCAAGGCGACGAUCCGUAGCUGGUCUGAGAGGAUGAUCAGCCACACUGGAACUGAGACACGGUCCAGACCCCCACGGGAGGCAGCAGGGGGGAAUUUGGGAAAAGGGGCGCAAGCCUGACCCAGCCAUACCGGGGGGGUGAAGAAGGCCUUCGGGUUGUAAAGCCCUUUUGUUGGGAAAAAAAAGCAGCAGGUUAAUACCCCGCUGUUCUGACGGUACCCAAAGAAUAAGCACCGGCUAACUUCGU
rnacentral:rRNA from 1 species